GCAUCUCAACCAUUUGUAAACUGUUUUUUUCUUAUAAAAAGUAUUCUCAAACUUUCAUUGGUUCAGUUAGAUCCUUGUUUAGCGAUCCAGUUUAACCAAAUUAUUGAGACCAAAUUAUUGCGAACUGCAAAGCUUAAGCAUAACUGAAACACAGCUGAGUACCGCCAUUUUGCGUUCCUUGAUCAAGUAAUCAUAAAAUGCUAAGUACCAAACCCUAAACCAUGGCAGUAACAUUGUAAAAAGCCGAGUACCACCAUUCUGGGUUUCUUGAUCAAGUAACUGGAUGCCAGUGGCAGUCAUCUAUUGCCUUUUGCUCCACUGACUGGUAAUUUAAUUAGCAAUAAGAAACAUUAGAAUCAUGUAAUGGAACUGAUGUAUAAAGAUGUUGUAUUAAUAAGGGUGGAAAUAUUGAAAUACUUGGUGUUAGAACUUUCUUCACAUAGUUCUCUCGAUUACAGUCAGUGGUGACUGGUGAUGAUGAAUUGUGUGAAACCACAAUUACUCGAGAUUCUGUAAGCCAGAUCUUUUGUGCAAAAAAGUGUACUCCAUAAUUUAUUAUGGAGAGAGAAUGGCAGUUACUUCAGUUUUUCUGUUUGUCUCGCCAUCUGCUGUCGUUGAUUCAUUGAAUCAGGGAUAUCAACAUUGUCGUUGGCUGCUUCCUUUGUUGCCAUGGUGUUGCAGCACCGAAAUGGGAUGGAUGAAACUACACAAUGGCUCUCAUGUAGUUGUCAUAUGGUAUGGAACAAAUCUAUUGGAAAUAGAUAUUGGUUUGCCUGUUGGAAGGAGAAUCUACAAGGGAAUGAUCUUGCAGCAAACAAAUAGCGCAGACAGUAUCCAAUGAAGGCGACAGGGAAGUAGCAGAGGGCGACAACAAUGUAAGCAACGAUGACUCCCUUCCACAUGGGUCCCUUGGAAGGCUUCUCCGGUGUUGAAGGGAUGGUGGCUUGAAUCUCCAGGACAACAUUGUGUCCUGCAUAGGCGAAAGCCACCUCUCCCAAAGCACUGAAGAAGUUGAAAACAGUACCAGCUGUGGUUGUGGCUUUGUAACCAUAUUGCACGUUUGGUUGAACUCCCUUUUUCAGCGCAGCCCCCCAGGCAAUCGUGGAAUAGCUUUACAGUCGACAAAAUCAUCAUCCAAGGACACUCCAGAAAUGGCGUUGAGGUUGGGAAGAUGUGAGAGGACAAAAUGCACAGAGGCGAAGAUCAUUAUAAAAUAAGUAAGCUUGAUGUCUUUGCAGUUAUCACCACAGACCACGUUAUGGAAUUUCUGGAGUGAUUUCCCCCCUGUGACCAUGUAGACAAUGUCCACUCCAACUUCAACAAUUAGCUGCUGAGGCACAACGAUGUAGAGCCCGAGCUUCUCUCCAAAAGCAUGCUGUCCGAGCUCGUGAUAUCUAUCAAACCUCUUGCCAGGUACCAUUUCAUGCAUCUCAACCAUCUGCCACAAUGUGUAGAAGGUUGGAAUAGUUACCAUCCUAGUUCAGACAUGGCAUAAGGGAGACCGAGAACUCCAGCUCCAACCAUGGCUGUGACAUUGUGAAAAGCUGAGUACCACCAUUUUGCAUUUCUUGAAGAAGUGAUAGGCAACCAAUCAUCAAUAGCCUUCUGUUCUGCAGUCCUAUUAUCCACCUGCACAUUUAUUUUCUCCAUCACUAUUGUGUGUAAUGAAUGGAAGUAAACUCUUUUUUGGCUAAGUGUACUAA